ACAAACUUGGUCAUUUAGAGGAAGUAAAAGUCGUAACAAGGUUUCCGUAGGUGAACCUGCGGAAGGAUCAUUACUGAAGUUGCUGGGAGAUGUUGCUGGCUUUUUCUUUUUAAAAAAAGCAAUGUGCACUCUUUCAAACUCUCACAAACUUCCUUCUCACCCCCUUGUGCACACUUGGUAGAGGCCUCCCCGAGGGAGAAUUUGUUUUUUGCUACACACACGAGAUUUUGAAUGUACAUGCUUAUGGCAAUAUCAGAAAGAAACAACUUUCAACAAUGGAUCUCUUGGCUCUCGCAUCGAUGAAGAACGCAGC
rnacentral:misc_RNA from 1 species